UUGGACAAUGGGCGAAAGCCUGAUCCAGCCAUGCCGCGUGAGUGAAGAAGGCCUUCGGGUUGUAAAGCUCUUUUAGUCGGAAAGAAAGAGUUGCAAUGAAUAAUUGUGAUUUAUGACGGUACCGACAGAAAAAGCACCGGCUAACUACGUGCCAGCAGCCGCGGUAAUAAGGGC
rnacentral:rRNA from 1 species